UACGGGGGGAGCAAGCGUUGUUCGGAAUUACUGGGCGUAAAGCGUGCGCAGGCGGUUCUAUAAGACAGAUGUGAAAUCCCCGGGCUCAACCUGGGAACUGCAUUUGUGACUGUAGAGCUGGAGUGCGGCAGAGGGGGAUGGAAUUCCGCGUGUAGCAGUGAAAUGCGUAGAUAUGCGGAGGAACACCGAUGGCGAAGGCAAUCCCCUGGGCCUGCACUGACGCUCAUGCACGAAAGCGUGGGGAGCAAACAGG
rnacentral:rRNA from 1 species